rnacentral:lncRNA from 1 species
AGGUUUAGACUAGGUGAGCACUCUGCUCCGGAGGGACAGAUCGCCGGAGACCGCCGGCGGAAGGCGAGUCCUGGAGGGGUUAAGGUUCUGGAGUCGGACCCGGCCCGGCAGUCCCCUGGGCUUGAAAGAUUCGAAUGCCUCCCCAAUUGUCACCCAGGCUGAUCUUUGCACAGCCUGUUGGCUUCUCGUGGAGUUUGCGAUGAGAUCUCUGUGGUUCCCCUCAGGUGCUAAUCAGGGGCCACUGAGACAGGAGUUUGUGUCGGAGCAUGCGCUGUAUCUCUGCAGUCAUGGUGAGCCUCAUCCCGAUAGGGAUAAGGUAGAAAGCGCUAUGGAAUGAGUGGACAGUAAAGUAGGAUGGCUGUGCUGCCCAGACAGGAGAAGAAAAAGAGGAGCCUGCUGGUUAAGUUCUGGAGAAAUUUGUUGUUGUUGUUGUUUACUGAACAUGUGAAGGGAGGUAUUCUUUCUGCCUUGCCUGUUUUAUUUUUCAGGAAGCAGGGUUGGGAAUGAACCCUGGAGCUGAGACAGCCAUCCUGAAGCUAUAACAAGCCUAAAGAAUAAAUAAACCCCAGUGUCUUGAAUCCUGGCUGAUGUAUUUAGUGAAUGGCCUAGGGGGCUGAACAACCUGCAUUAAAGCUUGCUGUAGAUACGUGAGACAGAGUCAACUGAGACUGUGGCAGCUCUCCAAAACGGAUGCUGUGCCCGGUUUAAAAAGACAAAGUCAAAUAGAAUGGGGUUUUGGUUCGUACUUUUUUUGUUGUUUUUUUUUUUUUCUGACGACCUCAGUAUGUAACCUACGACUUUCUUUAAACUGGUGUUUCUCCUGCCUGAGCCUUCUGAAUACUAGGAAUGCGGCUAUGCACCAUGGGGUUGGGGUGGUAACCGUUUCUAAAAUAAAAUAAACCUGUAAGGCUUUAAGUAACGCUAAAAAUAAAAAAUAAAAGGGCAUUUUGUACA